rnacentral:ncRNA from 1 species
GGUCAAGCUACUAAGGGCGCAAGGUGGAUGCCUUGGUGCCAGGAGGCGAUGAAAGACGUGGUUAGCUGCGAUAAGCUUCGGGGAGCCGCUAAACAGGCUUAGAUCCGGGGAUUUCUGAAUGGGGGAACCCGGUCCGUGUCAUGACGGAUCAUCUGCAACUGAAUACAUAGGUUGCUGAAGCGAACGAGGGGAACUGAAACAUCUAAGUACCCUCAGGAAAAGAAAACGACAGUGAUUCUCUAAGUAGCGGCGAGCGAACGGGGAAGAGCCUAAACCGAUUGUGUGUGAUAGCCUGCAAGCGUUGCAUAGUCGGGGUUGCGGAGCUCCAUUAGAGAGGAUUGCAGUUCUCUCGGAAAGUUACAAAAUCUGUUUAUAGCUGAAUCUUCUGGAAAGGGGAGUCAUAGAGGGUGAUAAUCCCGUAAGCGAAAUGAACAGAUCUUUCUGGAUGGAGUUUCCAAGUACUGCGGGACACGAGAAAUCCCGCAGGAAACUAGGGGGACCAUCUCCUAAGGCUAAAUACUACCUGGCAACCGAUAGUGAACUAGUACCGUGAGGGAAAGGUGAAAAGCACUCCGAAAGGAGAAUGAAAUAGUACCUGAAACCGUGCGCCUACAAGGUGUGGAAGGACCAGGGAUGAAGCAAUUCAUCCGGUCUGACUGCGUGCCUUUUGUAUAAUGAGUCAGCGAGUUACUUCUACGUAGCGAGGUUAAGCCGUCAGGUGUAGCCGUAGCGAAAGCGAGUCUUAAUAGGGCGAAUUAGUUGCGUGGAGUAGACCCGAAACCAAGUGAUCUAUUCAUGGCCAGGGUGAAGCGCAUGUAACAGUGCGUGGAGGCCCGAACCGGUGUGGGUUGAAAACCGCUCGGAUGAGCUGUGAAUAGGGGUGAAAGGCCAAUCAAACUUGGAAAUAGCUGGUUCUCCCCGAAAUAUAUUUUGGUAUAGCCUCGCAACUUUAAGUAUCGGAGGUAGAGCACUGAAUGGGCUAGGGGUCUUACCGGACUACCAACCCCAACCAAACUCCGAAUGCCGAUAACUUCAAUUGCGGGAGUCAGACGGCGGGAGAUAAGUUCCGUCGUCGAAAGGGAAACAGCCCAGAUCGCCAGCUAAGGUCCCUAAUACAUGCUAAGUGGAAAAGGAUGUGGAAACGUAUAGACAGCCAGGAGGUUGGCUUAGAAGCAGCCACCCUUUAAAGAAAGCGUAAUAGCUCACUGGUCAAAUGAGUCUGCGCCGAAAAUUUAACGGGGCUCAAGCAUGUAACCGAAGCUGCGGACUUGCACCGUAAGGUGGGAGUGGUAGGGGAGCAUUCUAUCGUAGAGCGAAGCCGGAUCGUAAGGCCCGGUGGACGAAAUAGAAGAGAUUAUGCUGACAUAAGUAGCGAAAAAGUCUGUGAAAAACAGACUCGCCGAAAACCUAAGGUUUCCUGAGUAAAGUUAAUCUGCUCAGGGUUAGUCGAUCCCUAAGCCGAGGCCGACAGGCGUAGGUGAUGGGAAACAGGUUAAUAUUCCUGUACCACUGAAGAAGCGUUAUCAACAAUGGGGGGACGUAGAAGGGUAGACCAUCCGGGUGUUGGAUGUCCCGGUUCAAGCUUGUAGGAGGAGAUUCCAGGAAAAUCCGGAGUCUUAUUAAACUCUGAGAAGUGAUGAGGAGAGAUUUAUCUCGUAAACUGGUUGAUCCCAUGCUACCAAGAAAAGCCUCUAGUGAGUUUCUUCGGUGAUCGUACCGUAAACUGACACAGGUAGGUAAGGAGAAUAUCCUAAGGCGCUUGAGUAAUAUCUCGUUAAGGAACUCGGCAAAAUGACACCGUAACUUCGGAAGAAGGUGUGCCUCAUUAGCGUGAAGCGAUUAGCACGUGAAGCGCGAGGAGGUUGCAGUGAAACGGCCCAAGCGACUGUUUAGCAAAAACACAGGACUCUGCUAAGUCGUAAGACGAUGUAUAGGGUCUGACGCCUGCCCGGUGCCGGAAGGUUAAGGGGAUUUGUUAGGGGUAACCCGAAGCUUUGAACCGAAGCCCCGGUAAACGGCGGCCGUAACUAUAACGGUCCUAAGGUAGCGAAAUUCCUUGUCGGGUAAGUUCCGACCUGCACGAAUGGCGUAACGAUUUGGGCGCUGUCUUGACGAGAUGCUCAGCGAAUUUGAUAAACCGGUGAAGAAGCCGGUUACCCGCAACUAGACGGAAAGACCCCGUGCACCUUUACUAUAGCUUGACAAUGAACUUUGGGCUGGUUUGUGUAGGAUAGGUGGGAGGCUUUGAAGUGGGAGCGCUAGUUUCC